rnacentral:lncRNA from 1 species
ACAUCCCUCCCUUCUGGAGAAAAGCUACAAGAUAAGAGAGAAGAAAGAAGUUCAAAUUUUGUUUAGUGUUUGUGUUAGGAUUAGAGUUGGCUGUGAGUAAUAGAAAAUCCAUUUAACAGUUGAUUUGAUAAAACAGCUUUUUUUUUUUUUUUUUUAAACUGUAAGAAAUCUGGAGGCAGUAGACAGUUAAGGGUGGCUGUCCUCAUCCUUCUCCUAUCAUUUUUCACUACCGUUCUUUUCCUGGCCUCUGUUUAUCUCAUGGUGACAGUAUGGCUGCUGUAGCUCCAGUCAUCAUGUCUACAUGUAGCAGGAAGAAGGGGAAAGGGGCAAGGACAGAUUCAGUAGGUGAACAGAUAAAUAAACUGUAAUGUAUCCAUACAGUGAAAUUUUAGCCAGCAUUAAGUAAAAAUGAGCUACUGAUUCAUACAACAGGGAUACGUCUCAAAUUCAUUUUGCUAAAUGCAAGAAGAUGUGUGAUUUCACUUAUGUAACAUUUUGGAAAAGACACCACUAGAAGAACAGACAGAUCAGUGGUUGGGAGGAACUAGAAUGGAGGGACGUGCAGACUGCAAAGGGACAAGAGAAUUUGCGGGGGGGUGGGAUGACGAUAUUUUGAUUGUGGUGGAUAAGCUCCCUCUAUGCAUUUGCCAGUACUCAAGGAACCAUUCACUAAAAAGGCUAAAAUCAACCAUAUCUUUUAGGUCAGUUAUUUGAGGGUGGGAUGGAGUCAGGUAGCUGGAAGUCCUAAUGUGUAGUGCUUGCCUAUAUGGUGUUUUCCCAUCACUGCCGAUUUCAAGAUGCCAACAGUCUAACAGCUGUGCAAAAUUCCUGAAAAUUGGUGGGAUAUGCUGCUGAAUACUGUGUACAAAUUAUACCUCAAUAAAUCUGACUUUUUAAAAAAGUGCACUUUCCAAGGAGCCUGGCCUAAAAAUCUUGGCUCUCUACUCUUAACUGUGUCCAAAGUUGAAAAAGGAAUUCUUCUACUGGGAACAUGUUCCCCCACCCCCCAAAAAAAUCAAGGUUCUGAUACUUCAUGCAGCCCCUGGAGUCAAAGCAGCAGCUUCUUUUAUUUUUUUAAAUUGAAGUAUAGUUGAUUUACAGUGUUGUGUUAGUUUCAGGUGUACAGCAAAGUGUUUCAUAUAUACAUAUGUAUAUAUAUACACACACACAUAUAUUCUUUUUCUUAUUCUUUUCCAUUAUAAGUUAUCACAAGAUAUUGAAUAUAGUUUUCUGUUCUACACAGUAGGUCCUUGUUGCUUAUCUCUUUUAUAUAUAGUAGUGUGUAUCUGUUAAUCCCACACCCCUAAUUUAUCCUCUCCUCUUCCUUUCCCUUUUGGUAACCAUAAAUUUGUUUUCUAUGUCUGGGAGUCUCUUUCUGUUUCAUAAAUAAGUUUAUUUGUAUCAUUUUUUUUUAGAUUCCACAUAUAAGAGAUAUUAUAUAAUAUUUGUCUCUCUCUCUGUCUUACUUCACUUAGUAUGAUAAUCUCUAUGUCCAUCCAUGUUGCUGCAAAUGGCAUUAUUUUGUUCUUUUUUAUGGCUGAGUAGUAUUCCAGUGUGUGUGUGUGAGCGCUGUCUCACAUCUUCAUCCCCUCAUCUGUUGAUGGGCAUUUAAUUUGUUUCUGUGUCUUGGCUGUUGUGAAUAGUGCUUCAAUGAUGCAUGGAUAUUUGCAAAUUAGAGUUUUUGAGAGACAGCUUCUUAACUGCUCCACCUGCCUCCAGGGUUUCUGGAAAAAAGUACAUCUUCUCUAACAAGAGCCCUCCUGGUCUAGUUUGACUUAAUAUCCAAAUCAGAGCUGACUAUGCCCAGGCCCUCCAACCAUACUCACACGCAGCUUCGGGGCACACACACUGCCCCCCAUACUCGUAGACUUUCCUUUCUUUUCCUUGCUUCUUUUUCACUUUGGAGUUUUUGUGCUCAGUGUACUGUCUACCUGGAACUGGCCUCCCCAAGCUCUUAGCACAGCUGCGUCCUUCUUACCUAGUUUUUGGCUCAGGUGUCAGCUGCACAGAGAGGCCUCAUCUGGCUUCUUAGGCGGAAGAAUCUAAGGCUUCUCCAGGCUCUCCUUGCAUCCCAGCACAGAGGAGCAUUAUCUAAAAUGACCGUUUGUUUUCUUGUUUGUUUUACCUCUUUCCCAGGAGAAUAUGAGUCUGCUAGUUGGGGGAAUUUUGUUCCUAAUGUUUUCUUGGAAACUCAAAGAAGAGCCAGGCAUGCAGUUGGUUGUUAGUCAAUCUUGGCCAAAGGAAUGAACGUAACACACAGCAUACACCUGUCAGGCGAGGUCCACACUCCCUGCAAACACAAACCCACUUGCACACACUUCACCAACUCCCCCAAGCCUACACAACUGCAUAUGUGGACAGACUCACACAUAAACCUAGCUGGGCCCCCCUCACCUGAGAGGGAAUGGGGGCAGGGGGGGAGUGGGCUGAUAUGUCUUGUUUCUGGUUGACCUUCCUCUUCAGAGCUGUGUUCUGGAAUCGCUGAGAUGUUUCCCACAGGGAAGUGAAAAAACAAAGAGUUUUGCAAGAGAGAAAGAGAGAGGACUGGCUGAGUGCCAGUGGCUGGUUGGGCUGGGGCGGGGGUCAAGGAGGAUUUGAGCUGUCACCCAGUCCAGCCGCCAGCUCUGCUCCAGAUAUCUCAGUGUGACUUGGAGAGAGGGGGUCACAGACCCUCAGAAGGGCUUGGAUCUGGGCUCAUGUAACUCACCCUUUUGCUUCCAGCCAUGCCCCACACUGGGCCCUCUUGAGGGCUCAGGGGAUAUUUGAGAAGUAAGUCUUAAAGUUUGAGAUGAGGCCACCGGUUUUUGCCAUGUCGCCUUGGGUGAAUUCUCUCAGGUGAGCACCCAGACAUUCCUAAAAUGACAGCUGAUUCAGUUAAACAGUAAUCUGUAAGCCAGGUGGGCCCUGAUAGUCACCUUGCCAGCCACUGUUAUGAGCUACCAUGUCCCAGGAGAUGAAUCAGAUAGGUCUAAGGAAAUCCUAUUUCUUGUUGAUCUGAGGUGUGUGUGAGACCCAGUUCUAGCUAAUGAGAUGUUAGGGGACUCUGCUGGGGGCAGAUGUCCCCCCUUAAUAAGAGAGAAGUACAUGAGAAGAAAUCUCUUUCUGCCUCAUCCUUCUUUCCUGCUUGGUUCACUGUUGUGUGAAGGAGUCACAGCAACCAUUUUAUGACUAUGAGGUUGACCCAUGUGACUAUAUAGCUGACCCACUGAGAUUGUAGGGCAGAAAUUUGGUAAGCUCCUAGGUUCUUGAUUGCGGAGCUCAAAUCAUCCUGAAACUGAUGCUUUCCAGACUUCUUACUAUAUGAGACCAUUAUGUUUCUUCAUACCUAUUACUUAUAGCCCAAAGCAUCCCAACUCAUUCAUAGACAUUUUUAUGUGGCCUUCUCUUCCCUGCCUCCUUCCCCCUCAACUAGGCAGUUCUAACUCAGUCUGCAGAGCUCAGCUCUAAUGCCACUUCCUCAGAGGAGCCUGCCCUGAUUCUCUCCCCUCAAGAGCAAAUCAUGUUUGCCUGCUUUGCGUCUCCCAGCAUCACAUGCCUUUGAAACCCCUGCAGCUGAACAAUUGAUAAAUGUCAAUUGCAUACACCACAAGAUUGGGCUUGCUUUCACUCAUAGCUGUGCCUCACACAAGACUUGUGCAUGAAUGUUCAGAGUCACUUUCUUUGUCAUAGUCCCAAACUGGAAAUAGACCAAUGGCUCAUUGACAGGUGAAUGGAUAAGAAAACAGUGGAUUAUCCACAUAAAGGACCACAACUCAACAAGAAUAAGAAAUUAAUAUUGAUAUGCACCCACUAUGGAUAACGCUCAGCAUAACUAGGCAACAUGAAAGAAAUCAGACAAGAAGAGGGCAAACUGGGCUGAGAAUGGACUAGAGUGGGAGCAGGGGACCCUGGAGCCCAGUGAGGAGAACAUCACUCUCAGUGCAAAAGCCCAAGUCCUUAUAAAGUCCCACCAGAUUCAUACGAUCUGGCCCUGAGCCCCCUCUGAUUGCAUUUUCUCCCCCUCUCCAUCCACUCCAGCCCUCACAGCCUCUGCCCUGCUUCCAGAACCCACCAGGCAUACUCCUUCCGCAAGACUUUUGCACUGUCUAUUCCUGCUCCCCUAGAUCCAAACAUGGCUCAAACCCCCUGCUGCCUUCAAGUCUUUGCCCAAAUGUCACCUCCACAGAGAGGCCUGCCCAGAUUUCUUCUCUGUCUCCAAGGACUCCAGACUUCUCUUCAGUCUUGUCUUUUGCUUGAUUUCUUGUUAGCCCCAGCCUCCCUUGGUUAUGUACAUGCAAAUGACAACAUGGAUGACUCUCAGAACAAUUAUGCUAAAUGAAAGAAGUUAGGGGAAUUCCUUAGGUGGUCUUGGGUUAGGAUUCGGUAUUUUUACUGCUGCUGCCCAGGUUCCAUCCCUGGUCUGAGAACUGAGAUCCCGCACCAAGCUGCUGCACAAAGUUAGACACAAAAGGAGGACCUACUGUGUGAUUCCGUUUAGAUGAAAU